rnacentral:lncRNA from 1 species
UGUAGGAGUCAUUCCAAUACCCUCUUCAUCAUCAGAAUCUUCUUCUAUUGUUGCACCAAUAGGGAUGUCAUAUACAUGUCGAUGCUGACAUUCUUGCACAACAUGCCAGUUUUGUCCCAGUUUCGUGUCUUGUAAAUAAUAAACUUGCUUUGCUUGGUUCGCAAGAAUAAAUGAAUCAUUCUUAUACUAUAAUCUGGUUAUAUUUAUGCUUUGCAUAUUUUCAUUUAUCCUGACAUUAGUAUUUCUAAAUCCA